AGUGUCUGGUGGGUAGUUUGACUGGGGCGGUCUCCUCCUAAAGAGUAACGGAGGAGCACGAAGGUUGGCUAAUCCUGGUCGGACAUCAGGAGGUUAGUGCAAUGGCAUAAGCCAGCUUGACUGCGAGCGUGACGGCGCGAGCAGGUGCGAAAGCAGGUCAUAGUGAUCCGGUGGUUCUGAAUGGAAGGGCCAUCGCUCAACGGAUAAAAGGUACUCCGGGGAUAACAGGCUGAUACCGCCCAAGAGUUCAUAUCGACGGCGGUGUUUGGCACCUCGAUGUCGGCUCAUCACAUCCUGGGGCUGAAGUAGGUCCCAAGGGUAUGGCUGUUCGCCAUUUAAAGUGGUACGCGAGCUGGGUUUAGAACGUCGUGAGACAGUUCGGUCCCUAUCUGCCGUGGGCGCUGGAGAACUGAGGGGGGCUGCUCCUAGUACGAGAGGACCGGAGUGGACGCAUCACUGGUGUUCGGGUUGUCAUGCCAAUGGCACUGCCCGGUAGCUAAAUGCGGAAGAGAUAAGUGCUGAAAGCAUCUAAGCACGAAACUUGCCCCGAGAUGAGUUCUCCCUGAGACUUUAGGUCUCCUGAAGGAACGUUGAAGACGACGACGUUGAUAGGCCGGGUGUGUAAGCGCAG
rnacentral:rRNA from 1 species